GAGAAAGUUGGAGGUGGUGGUGAUUUCAGUCGCCUUGGCCGCCUUGAGCCGGAGCUGAGCGGAGGCACUGGGCCGAGCCUGCUUCCCGGGCCUUCCUACCAUGCCAGGGCUGCUCCCUGCCUCCGCCACCCUGGCACACCUUCACCCGCGUACCGCCUCCUCCCCGUCGCUCUGCCUUUUCCAAAACUCACUUGGGCCCUCCGUGCGCAGGGUUCUUUUUUGGUUUUUCUGUAAAAAUCAAAACAAAAAACAGAGACUUUUGAGAGGAGCAGAUGCCACCUAAAGUCCCACUGCAUUCCCUGCAAAGCGCUCAAAUGUGGAAGCCAGUCAUUGGCAUUUUUAUUUUUUAUUGAUUGAUUGAUUUUUUCACCAGUGGCUUUUUGUAACCUCUGUGUUCUGCUGUGUUUCUUGUGUUUAGUCUUCGAGUGCUUCGACUGACCAUGAUCCCCUGGGCCCCCUCCCUCCUGGCUGGGCUGUGAAAGAGGCCAGAGGGAAGCAGAUACGAGAGUUGAAUGCCAGGUGGUGACUCUGGAAACGCAUCGCUGCUAGUUAUUAUCGCCGUGUAGAUUUCUCCUCGCGCUUGGUAGCCG
rnacentral:lncRNA from 1 species